rnacentral:rRNA from 1 species
GACGAACGCUGGCGGCGUGCUUAACACAUGCAAGUCGAACGGAAAGGCCUGCUUUCCCUUGUGGAUUGCGGGUACUCGAGUGGCGAACGGGUGAGUAACACGUGAGUGAUCUGCCCCCAACUUGGGUAUAAGCCUGGGAAACUGGGUCUAAUUCCCGAUAGGACUGCAGGGUGGUGCCUGUGGUGGAAAACGAUUUUCUAGUGGUUGGGGAUGAGCUCGCGGCCUAUCAGCUUGUUGGUGGGGUAAUGGCCUACCAAGGCGGCGACGGGUAGCCGGCCUGAGAGGGUGGACGGCCACAUUGGGACUGAGAUACGGCCCAGACUCCUACGGGAGGCAGCAGUGGGGAAUAUUGCACAAUGGGCGGAAGCCUGAUGCAGCGACGCCGCGUGGGGGAUGACGGCCUUCGGGUUGUAAACUCCUUUCGACCGCGAGGAAGCCACCUGGUUGGAAGGGUGGUGACGGUAGUGGUGGAGGAAGCACCGGCUAACUACGUG